rnacentral:tRNA from 1 species
GCGCACGUAGCCAAGCGGUUAAGGCAGUCGCCUGCAGAGCGACGAUUCGCAGGUUCGAAUCCUGCCGUGCGCU